UACGGAGGGGGCUAGCGUUGUUCGGAAUUACUGGGCGUAAAGCGCACGUAGGCGGCUUUGUAAGGUAGAGGUGAAAGCCCGGGGCUCAACUCCGGAAUUGCCUUUAAGACUGCAUCGCUCGAAUUGUGGAGAGGUAAGUGGAAUUCCGAGUGUAGAGGUGAAAUUCGUAGAUAUUCGGAAGAACACCAGUGGCGAAGGCGACUUACUGGACACAUAUUGACGCUGAGGUGCGAAAGCGUGGGGAGCAAACAGG
rnacentral:rRNA from 1 species